CCUACGGGUGACAGCAGUGAGGAAUAUUGGUCAAUGGGAGAGAUCCUGAACCAGCCAAGCCGCGUGAGGGAAGACGGCCCUAUGGGUUGUAAACCUCUUUUGUCGGAGAACAAAACCCGGGACGUGUCCCGGACUGCGUGUAUCCGAAGAAAAAGCAUCGGCUAACUCCGUGCCAGCAGCCGCGGUAAUACGGAGGAUGCGAGCGUUAUCCGGAUUUAUUGGGUUUAAAGGGUGCGUAGGCGGAUCGUUAAGUCAGUGGUCAAAUUGAGGGGCUCAACCCCUUCCCGCCAUUGAAACUGGCGUUCUUGAGUGGAAGAGAAGUAUGCGGAAUGCGUGGUGUAGCGGUGAAAUGCGUAGAUAUCACGCAGAACCCCGAUUGCGAAGGCAGCAUGCCGGCUUCCGACUGACGCUGAAGCACGAAAGCGUGGGGAUCGAACAGGAUUAGAUACCCCUGGUAGUC
rnacentral:rRNA from 1 species